AAUCCGGUGCAAGUCCGGAGCGGUCGCGCCACUGUGACCGGGCGACCCGCCCGGGAGUCAGAAAA
rnacentral:sRNA from 15 species